CCUACGGGCUGCUCCAGGCGAGAAAACUUUGCAAUGUGCGAAAGCACGACAAGGUUAAUCCGAGUGGUUUCUGCUAAAGAAACCUUUUGUUAGUCCUAGAAACACUGAUGAAUAAGGGGUGGGCAAGUUCUGGUGUCAGCCGCCGCGGUAAAACCAGCACCUCAAGUGGUCAGGAUGAUUAUUGGGCCUAAAGCAUCCGUAGCCGGCUAUGUAAGUUUUCGGUUAAAUCUGUGCGCUUAACGUACAGGCUGCCGGGAAUACUGCAUAGCUAGGAAGUGGGAGAGGUAGACGGUACUCGGUAGGAAGGGGUAAUAUCCUUUGAUCUAUUGAUGACCACCUGUGGCGAAGGCGGUCUACCAGAACACGUUCGACGGUGAGGGAUGAAAGCUGGGGGAGCAAACCGGAUUAGAUACCCCGGUAGUC
rnacentral:rRNA from 1 species